GUUAUAAGGAAUUACAUGGACACUUAUUAUAGGUGAUAGAAGUUUCAAGAGGUACGGUUAGAUAAACCGGUAAGGUCCAGUAGGUAAACAAAUCAAGCCGAAAUAAUUGCUGAUCGGUAAAAGUCUAGUUAAACAAUAGCACAACAAAUAGUAGCGGGAUAAGUAUUGAGUCAAAAUAAACGUGAGGCGAGUCAAGAAGGUAGAAUCAUGACAAUGAGCAUGAGCUAUAAGCUAUAGUACCUGGGCGACCGAGCUUUGCUCGGUUAUAACUAUUUAUUGUAAUAUGGUGGUGUAUAGGUGAUAAUCUUAACUACAUUUUUUUACUAAAUUAAACUUGUCCAAAACAAUAAAAAUUAAAUAUAUAUAUAUAUAUAUAUAUAAACUUAAACAUACAUAAAAAAAACAAAAGUUAGUCACCGGGCGAGAUUCGAACCCGUAACACUCGUUUCUAGCAGUCCGCGUCUUAACCCGCUGGGCCAGACGGACAGUGGCCGGCGACACGAAAUUAGCGACCAUAUUCUGCGCCGAAAGAAAAACGCACGAAAACUCGAAAACACGCGUUUUCCCAAACAUAAGACAACUCUAGAUCGAUUGUAUACCCCCAAAAACCCCCAUAUACCAAAUUACAGCGAAAUCGUUAGAGCCGUUUUCGAGAUCACAGAAAUAUAUAUGUACAUACAAGAAUUGCUCGUUUAAAGGUAUAAGAUAAAAGAAAACAGUUGUGUGAGGUACAACUUCUUGUUGUGAUUUUUGCCCGAGGAAGCAUUUCGACAAACUUGAAAACAUAAUUAUGUACCUACGACGAUCCGAACUUUAGGAUGCGACGUUGUCAGGUCAUUAGCUUCACGGUCACAGUCGUUGCGAUUUGGCAGGCUGGCAACGUCGCCUGCUUUCAUUGAAGUACAAAAUUAUUGUUACCUGUCUAUGAUUGUUACCAAAUUGUACUUUCAUAACGUUCCUUUCUACAGCACAACAUUUUUUAAAACAGUCCCCUACUUCAGGGUAAAGUUGUCAAGUUGUUUCUUAAAAAAACUUCGAGAUUGGAAUGGAAAAGCUAUUUAUUUUAAAAUUAAAGCAUAUGAUAUUUUAUUGUUUUUUUUAAACAAUAUAUAUAUUAUGCUUUAUUUUAUUCUAACUGAACACACAUGCACUAGACAAGCAAAAUCGUGAAGUUAUUUUUAGGGAGACAAAGAAAUUUAAAUGGCAACACUCAAAAUAAGUUGUCACUGUUCCAAUCCAAUUUGUAAUGAAAUGGUUUUGUAAUAAAUCUUUUUUUUGAUUUGAUUCUAAAUGUAGAAAUUUGAUUAGAUACAUACCUAUGAACCUCACUUGCGACUUUGUCUUGCAGGCACAAAAUAGGUAGUGAAUUCAACUAAAGCAAAGCUAAAGCUAUUGAAAUGAAGUUCCGGUUUGGGAAUCAGUGAUGAAAAUUGCAUGCGAAUGGAUUAUCACUUCAGGAACCAGUCUCUAGCUACUAGAAGUAACAAUAUAGUAUGGGGCAGGACAAUGAGAUAAGAUAUGGUCAAUGCAUCUCAUUACCCAAUUAAAAUAUUUUGAGGUAAAAAUGGUAUCAAUUUUUAUACCUGCCUCAAUGGAUACAGACACAAGCUACGAAAAUCUUUUUAAUAGUAAUAAAUCCUCAUAAAAAAGAAACAC